CUCUGCCAAAAGUGCAAAGUGCAGAGGGAGCUUGGAAUGGAAAUGAGAUCCCUUAACUUAUCUCUGCUCCACUCUGAUCUUCUUCCAGUACCUCCCACUGGGAACCAGCCACCAGCCAGGACGGGAUGCAGCCAGGGCACAGAGCUAGAAAGAGAAGGGCAGGAAUGGAUGGAGAAGGAAGAAGGGAGAAUGAUUAAGCUCCACAGCUCUGUCAGGUUCCGAACCCAGCUAUACAUGAUCCGAAAGGUUCUAUGAACUCCUCUACACACCUUUCAUAUUUACGAGGAGUCUGCGAGGUCAGAGAUCUCCAGUGGUCUGCACUUGGAUGUUUGUAAACAGUCCUGAACUGAGAGGAAGAAAGGACCCCUGGAUCUGGAGGGCACGUUGAGGUUGCCUGGUCCAAACUUCGACCUAAAAUUGGCUGCCAUAUGCUCUCUGCCUGAAGAUUUCUCAUGAGGCCACAACUACAGAGCCCACGUGCCCUGGAGCCCGUGCAUCACAACUAGAGAGAAGCCCAAGCACCGCAACUAGAGAGAAACCCUAGAGCCACAACGAAGUGACCGUGCACCGUAAUGAAAGAUCCCGCGUGUUGC